GCUGGCAUCGCCGCGAACCGGGGUUCCAGGAGCCGCCGGGGCGGCCGCAGGAUCUGUGCAGAUCUCUGGCUGAUUGCUUUAUGCCUGGUUCUGGAGCCUUUGCCAGUGCAUUCUAAGAAGAACAAGGGAAGACCAGCAAGCCACAGCAGAAGAAACUCAGAAGGAAAUGUAACCUUCCACAGGCCCACACAUGUGUUAUCAGCCAUACCUUAGGACAGAAGGAAUGAGUUUGCAGAAAGGAUGAGAGACUAUAGACUUAUUCUCAAUUAAAGAGCUGUCUUCAUAGCUACAUCAGGCUCCUUGAAUGGAAGCAGCCCUACAACCAUACUGAGAAUUUAGCCCUGGGGACAUCUUCCGAUAUAAUCUGGCAUAGAAGAGUGGUUAUCACACCUUUAGCAUGGGAAAGAGCCACAGAUUUGCUUCUUCCUAGCAAGGGCGUGAUACUAAUUCCAGAUCCAUCCAAAUAUUGUUCACUGCUUCUUAGACAGAGACCCCUUUCUCCCAGGACCCUUGAGACACCUUUGCUGUGAAUAAUGGAGAAGCAAAAGGAGUUACUAAUGAAGACAAACUAAACCUGAGAACAGAGAGAGCCUAACUAUGUGCUCCAGAAGUGCCAUGUGUGUCUAAGAUGAAGUUUCGCUCUUCUUGCCCAGGCUGGAGUGCAAUGGCACAAUCUCAGCUCACUGCAACCUCUGCCUCCUGGGUUCAAGCGAUUCUCCUGCCUCAGCCCCCUGAGUAGCUGGGAUUACAGGUUCCUAUAAAGUUCCUGAUAGUUGAAGAAAGUCAGGAGAUCUUAGAAACUGACUUUCAUUUAUAACCUGCUGAUUCACCUAGAUCAGGUUACUGGGAAGAAAUCCAAGUCAGACCUCCUGACCUACUCGAAACAGCAUGAGGAAUUUUGGAAAUACAUCUGGUGCUUCCAGUGACUGUAUAAUAAUCAAUGUAUCCUGACUCUAAAGAAAAGCAGAAGUGAAACUGAAAGUACAGACUACAAGGUGGAAUAUGAUCCCUCUACUAUCAACUAAAAGUCUUAGACUUGCUACCCUUCUGAAAAUGGUUCUGAAGGGGCCCAGGAAGAAACCUCCUCUUCCCCAGCUGAGUUGAGAACCAAGUGGAAGACAAAGAAGUUAGACAGCAGAUGAAAAAGUGACCUGCCUUGCACCUUGCCAGUUGGCUUGCUAGCUCUCCCCUGAUUUGAACUUCUGACAACAGAACAUGCUCCACCAAACUUACCAUGUGAAGGACAGCACAUGGGCAUUCUUUCUGAGACCUGCAAAGAAAACAAAGGGAGAGGCUAAGCAGACAAAGGAAAACUCUUUCUUCUCAAAUCAAUCAGAUAAUGAACUCCUGUUCCCUUUAGGAGAAAUGAGUGGGUGGGGAGAGAAAAGCAAGCAGUUGACCUCUGGAGGUCCUUAGACUUAAAAACAUAAAGCCCAAGGAAGAAAAUUCCUCCCCAGCAUUAACUUGGACCAGUAAUGUUUUUCUAUUUAUAUUCCAUAUGUAAAUAUGCCUGUGAGGUAUUAUGUAUUGUCUUUGUGCCUUUAAGUGCAUUUCUUUAAAAAAUCUGUAACUUUAAACUUAAAUAGAAAGGCACAAAAUGGAUUGU
ensembl:lncRNA novel transcript